UAAGCGCUGGAAACGGCGUCUAAUACCGGAUACGAGACGUGAAGGCAUCUUCAACGUCUGGAAAGAAUUUCGGUCUGGGAUGGGCUCGCGGCCUAUCAGCUAGUUGGUGAGGUAACGGCUCACCAAGGCGUCGACGGGUAGCCGGCCUGAGAGGGUGACCGGCCACACUGGGACUGAGACACGGCCCAG
rnacentral:rRNA from 1 species